ensembl:lncRNA
CGUCCUCCUUCUCCAAUUAAAACUCCAUCUCGGCAUCGCUGCGGACCGUGGGAAGGUCUGAAGGAAAACACGGUGGCCCCGAUAUUCUUCUAACUGAAAAGUGCUACACAGUCUCUUCUAGACGAGAUGUCUGACUAGAAAGGACAGGUGCAAAACCAGAGCAGCAAAUCAGAGUGUGAAACUCAGUGAUGCUACUGCUGUCUCCAGCUGUCCUCCUCUCAGGCUCCCCCACAGGCAGCUAGCUUGGAUAAUGGUCAAACCAGUGCAACGUUCCGUGUAACUAAGGCCUUAAAAAAGGAUUUUAAAGAUAAAUAUCUCAGUUAAUUACUUAAGCUACAGUCUGAAACCUAUUGAAGUCAAUGAGACAGGAGAGCAAGCAGCCAACAAGAUACACUCUGAAGUGUCUUUCUGAAUCAGUAGCUUCAUUCUGCUCUAAGGAACAAACCUCCAUUUCAGCGAAAGUCAUCUUAGGAUCAUGGUGCUUUCUUAGAUCUCUGUCAGCCACAAAGCCUACAAGAGAGAGGACAGUGCUAAGGCCUCGCUGCAGGAGAGUGUUGCAGGAAGCUGGAGAGAGCAGAUUCUCAGCUAUACAUUCCAUUACAAAGUCUGACUUAAUUCAUGGAUCAGGAAUGGAAGACCAACUCCCUUGCCUUCAAACCAUGAGGAGUUUGAGAAAGUAGAGUCAACUUCUCACUGUACCAAACUAAAAGAACAGACACAAAUGAAAAACUUCAAUAGUGCAACAAGCUCUGCUCAAAGAAGCUCACCCAGCAGCCCGUUCAAUGCUUUGGCUUUUGUUAAAAGGGAGGUUCUUCAGAGCAAGAGGUUCCAUUACAUGUCUACAUGUUGAGGAGAAGACCCUGGCCAGUGGCCGGCCACCCAUUCAGCCACUCCCUCACUCCCCUUCCUCAUGGGGGCAUGCAGGGGCAGAAAAAUGAUGAAAAAGCUUGUGGACAGAGAUAAAGACAGGGAAAUUACUUACUAGUUACUGUCAAGCAAUUACUUACCAAUUUGUCACUUGGAGAAAAUUAAUUUUUUGCCAAUUGAAAGAGCUUUGGUUUUUUUGAGAAACAAAAUCAAAAACUGAAGGCACGUCUUACCCCCACAUCCUUUCCCACUUCAUUCCUGAUUCCUCUUUCAGUGAAUGGGAGGUGUGACGGGUCCACAACAGUUCCUCUCCACCUCUCCUUUCUCCUCACACUGUUCUCUUGCUCCACCAUGGGCCUCUUCAAUGGGCUGCAGAUUCAUGCUCUGUCUUGGAGGACCUCAUUACUCUCCUCUUUCUCUGAACUUGGCCUUCACCCCAUUACUUCAUCCUUUUUUUCCCCUUCCUCUGCCUGCCUAGUGCUUUUGCCCAUUCUUUAAUACAUCUUCCCUGAGACACCAGCAAAAAGCCACGUGGGCUCCUGGAGCUUGGCAGCGUCUGCUAGGAUGGCCACUGGUCCAUCACUGGUCAACAAUGAGUGUUGCGCCAUCACUUGUUGUAUGCUUCUGGUUCUAAUGCAAGGGAGCAGAUUAUAUAUAACAUCACUAUUUCCAACCUCAGAUAUUCAGCAAAUGUAUUUUUUUCCCCAAAUACUUUUCAAUGGCAAAUAUAGAUACCUUUUCAUUUGUAUUUUGACCUCCAAGCCUUGAAUCUUUCUCCAAACACAUAGUCAAGAAACUCAUUUUUCAAAAGUCCUAAGAGUUGAGUUUCUUAUGAGAGUCUGGUCCACUUCAAGG